rnacentral:rRNA from 1 species
UACGAAGGGUGCAAGCGUUAAUCGGAAUUACUGGGCGUAAAGCGCGCGUAGGUGGUUCAGUAAGUUGGAAGUGAAAUCCCCGGACUCAACCUGGGAACUGCUUUCAAAACUGCUGAGCUAGAGUACGGUAGAGGGUGGUGGAAUUUCCUGUGUAGCGGUGAAAUGCGUAGAUAUAGGAAGGAACACCAGUGGCGAAGGCGACCACCUGGACUGAUACUGACACUGAGGUGCGAAAGCGUGGGGAGCAAACAGG